UCGAAGGCAUGUGGGUGCUUAGGCGAUUCUGCAUCGCAUCUAAGUCCCCGAGUGUGGCGUUAAGUGCACACUCGAAGAAAGUUAAUACUUAGGCAAUUCGUGAUCGCAGCUAAGUCCCCGAGUGUGACGUUGCGUGCACACUCAGAGAAAGUUAAUACUUAGGCGAUUCGGGAUCGCAUCUAAGUCCUCGAGUGUGACGUUAAGUGCACAUU
rnacentral:lncRNA from 1 species